AUCAUUCACUAUUAAAUUACUAUAAAUAAUUAUACUACCUUCUCUAUUUCUAGCUGUCCUAAAAUCUUUAACCACCUUCAAGUUCAAUCCUCUUUCUCUACCAUUUCCUACCCAGCUGCUCUCAGACGACGUCGGUCUUCCAACAGCUAACGUGGCAACCAAAGAGAGCGAGAUCGAGAAAGAGCUCAGGCCAGGGCUGGCCACAAGCCCAAGAAUCCAAAGGAUGACGGCUUGACCCCUGAGCAGAGACGAGAGAGGGACGCCAAGGCGCUGCAGGAAAAGGCUGCGAGAAAAGCAGCACAAGCUGCAGGUGGAGGGAAGGAGAAUUCAGGGGAUUUUAAGAAUAAUAACAAGAAGAAAUAGUUAGGGAUGAACCAUUUGUUAGGUUGAGGAAUGUCAUUGAUGAAUCAGAUUUGGCGGUUAUUGUUUUAUGUGGUUGUGUGUUGACGUCGUUUGCUGGCUUUGCUAACACAGCUGCUUCUUCCGAGAAUUGGUCGUUUUCAUGUAUAUUUGGCUUUCCAACCCUUACUGUGAAUCUGAUUUUCAAUGCAAUUUUCCUUUUUAGUUUC